GACGAACGCUGGCGGCGUGCUUAACACAUGCAAGUCGAACGGAAAGGCCCUGCUUUUGUGGUGUGCUCGAGUGGCGAACGGGUGUGUAACACGUGAGUAACCUGCCCUUGACUUUGGGAUAACUUCAGGAAACUGGGGCUAAUACCGGAUAGGAGCUCCUGCUGCAUGGUGGGGGUUGGAAAGUUUCGGCGGUUGGGGAUGGACUCGCGGCUUAUCAGCUUGUUGGUGGGGUAGUGGCUUACCAAGGCUUUGACGGGUAGCCGGCCUGAGAGGGUGACCGGCCACAUUGGGACUGAGAUACGGCCAAAACUCCUACGGGAGGCAGCAGUGGGGAAUAUUGAACAAUGGGCGGAAGCCUGAUGCAGCAACGCCGCGUGCGGGAGGACGGCCUUCGGGUUGUAAACCGCUUUCGCCUGUGACGAAGCGUGAGUGACGGUAAUGGGUAAAGAAGCACCGGCUAACUACGUG
rnacentral:rRNA from 1 species